rnacentral:misc_RNA from 1 species
AAUAAUUCAAUCCCCUGCAAAAAACUCCAGACAUAUUAAUGGUGUUUCAAGCUAGACUGGGUUUCAAGCAACUAAUAUAAGAUAAAACAUGUUCAGGUCCAUGAACUGAAGAAUGAUCUCCUUUUUCUUGCAGAUAGUGUUCUGAAAAUAUAUGAACUACCAUAUAAGAUCUUUCUUUUUCUUCAGCCAGAAGGAGACCCAAUGGUGGGCCAUAACAUGGUAUGGGGCCUAUGGGCUAUAUAACUUGAGGUAAACGUCCCCUUUCAUAACUCUCACCAAAAAGGUGAAAACUCUCACCAUAAUGCUAGUUGGGGGACUCAUGGGGGACUCAAAUCUAAGACUCAUCAACCUUUAAAGGAUACAAGCAGACAACCAAGCUAAAACCAGAUUGGCACCAUAUAAGAUCUUUCAGGUA